rnacentral:tRNA from 1 species
CACUGUGAAGCUUUCAGCGUUAACCUUUUAAGUUAAAGAUAGAGAAUAAUUUUCUCCACAUUGA